UCUCUUUCGCUACCCGUGACGUAGUGGUCGGAGGAGCCUGGAUAAUCUAUAUGUGUGUGUGUUUUCUAUAUCUCUAUAUAUAUAUAUAUACACACAUACACAUACAUACACACACACACAUAUAUACACACACACUGGAGAUAGAUUGUAUCGCCUCUCGGUGUGUCUCGCGGCUACGCGCGCACCCCCCCCCCCCAAAGAGAGAGAGGAAAAUGAGGCACCAAAGGGGCGGGGAUUGGUUUUCGCCAGCGCGCGCACGUCAGAAGAGCUCUUUCAUGGAACAGGACAAGAUAUGCCCUACUCUCCAAAGUAUAUUAUCUUGAACACACAGCUAAAUGUUCUGCAACUCACUGCUAUGGUGUGAGAAGAGGAAGGCGCAAAGCCAUCUUGCCAAGGCCCAAGAACAGAAGAAAUGCUGGUUUUAGAGGGAAAUGAGAGAAGCCAGGAACAACUCUAUCACGCCUAAGCCCAGAUACAGAUGAAAAGCCCUGUCUUCCAUCCCAAUGGCCACUGCCCUGGCCUUAGAGAGGAGGAGAAGCAGUACCUACUGGACUUAAUACCUUUUGUUCCAUGUCUUAAUUAGAUUGUAAGCCUGAGGACAGCGAAUAGAUUUGUUCUUUGCCCUACAAAGCAUCAUGUAUGGUGAUUGCACUAUAAAAUAAAUAACCACUGAUUUAUGAAAGAACCUAUUCCCAAGGAAGAGUCAGGACAGCAACUUCACAGUACAACCUUCUGUAUGUUCAUUUGUGUGUUUUCUGGCAAUGGGAUCAAGUCUCUUCUGCAUGGACUUAAGAGUUGUGUAGUAGUAAACUCCCUAGGAGAGGCAGCGUUGUGGCAAUAUAAAG
rnacentral:lncRNA from 11 species